rnacentral:rRNA from 1 species
AACGAACGCUGGCGGCAGGCUUAACACAUGCAAGUCGAGCGCCCCGCAAGGGGAGCGGCAGACGGGUGAGUAACGCGUGGGAACGUACCCUUUGCUACGGAAUAGCUCCGGGAAACUGGAAUUAAUACCGUAUGUGCCCUACGGGGGAAAGAUUUAUCGGCAAAGGAUCGGCCCGCGUUGGAUUAGCUAGUUGGUGGGGUAAUGGCCUACCAAGGCGACGAUCCAUAGCUGGUCUGAGAGGAUGAUCAGCCACAUUGGGACUGAGACACGGCCCAAACUCCUACGGGAGGCAGCAGUGGGGAAUAUUGGACAAUGGGCGCAAGCCUGAUCCAGCCAUGCCGCGUGAGUGAUGAAGGCCUUAGGGUUGUAAAGCUCUUUCACCGGUGAAGAUAAUGACGGUAGUCGGAGAAGAAGCCCCGGCUAACUUCGUGCCAGCAGCCGCAGUAACAC